rnacentral:rRNA from 1 species
AUUGAACGCUGGCGGCAUGCUUUACACAUGCAAGUCGAACGGUAACAGGCCGCAAGGUGCUGACGAGUGGCGAACGGGUGAGUAAUGCAUCGGAACGUGCCCAGUCGUGGGGGAUAACUACUCGAAAGAGUAGCUAAUACCGCAUACGAUCUAUGGAUGAAAGCGGGGGACCGUAAGGCCUCGCGCGAUUGGAGCGGCCGAUGUCAGAUUAGGUAGUUGGUGGGGUAAAGGCUCACCAAGCCAACGAUCUGUAGCUGGUCUGAGAGGACGACCAGCCACACUGGGACUGAGACACGGCCCAGACUCCUACGGGAGGCAGCAGUGGGGAAUUUUGGACAAUGGGCGCAAGCCUGAUCCAGCAAUGCCGCGUGCAGGAAGAAGGCCUUCGGGUUGUAAACUGCGUUUGUACGGAACGAAACGGCUCUGGUUAAUACCCGGGGCUAAUGACGGCACCGUAAGAAUAAGCACCGGCUAACUACGUG